rnacentral:rRNA from 1 species
GUUAAGCGACUAAGCGUACACGGUGGAUGCCCUGGCAGUCAGAGGCGAUGAAGGGCGUGCUAAUCUGCGAUAAGCGCCGGUAAGGUGAUAUGAACCGUUAUAACCGGCGAUACCCGAAUGGGGAAACCCAGUGUGAUUCGUCACACUAUCAUUAACUGAAUCCAUAGGUUAAUGAGGCGAACCGGGGGAACUGAAACAUCUAAGUACCCCGAGGAAAAGAAAUCAACCGAGAUUCCCCCAGUAGCGGCGAGCGAACGGGGAGGAGCCCAGAGCCUGAAUCAGCAUGUGUGUUAGUGGAAGCGUCUGGAAAGGCGCGCGAUACAGGGUGACAGCCCCGUACACAAAAGCGCAUGUGCUGUGAGCUCGAUGAGUAGGGCGGGACACGUGGUAUCCUGUCUGAAUAUGGGGGGACCAUCCUCCAAGGCUAAAUACUCCUGACUGACCGAUAGUGAACCAGUACCGUGAGGGAAAGGCGAAAAGAACCCCGGCGAGGGGAGUGAAAAAGAACCUGAAACCGUGUACGUACAAGCAGUGGGAGCACCCUUUGGGGUGUGACUG